AUUGAACGCUGGCGGAAUGCUUUACACAUGCAAGUCGAACGGCAGCACGGACUUCGGUCUGGUGGCGAGUGGCGAACGGGUGAGUAAUACAUCGGAACGUGCCCAGUCGUGGGGGAUAACGUAGCGAAAGAUACGCUAAUACCGCAUACGAUCUAAGGAUGAAAGCGGGGGAUCGCACGACCUCGCGCGAUUGGAGCGGCCGCUGGAAGAUUAGUUAGUUGGUAGGGUAAAGGCCUACCAAGCCGACGAUCUGUAGCUGGUCUGAGAGGAUGAUCAGCCACACUGGGACUGAGACACGGCCCAGACUCCUACGGGAGGCAGCAGUGGGGAAUUUUGGACAAUGGGCGCAAGCCUGAUCCAGCCAUUCCGCGUGCAGGAUGAAGGCCUUCGGGUUGUAAACUGCUUUUGUACAGAACGAAAAGGCUCUGGUUAAUACCCGGGGCUCAUGACGGUACUGUAAGAAUAAGCACCGGCUAACUACGUGCCAGCCGCCGCGGUAAGAC
rnacentral:rRNA from 1 species